rnacentral:rRNA from 1 species
AUUGAACGCUGGCGGCAGGCCUAACACAUGCAAGUCGAGCGGAUGAAGGGAGCUUGCUCCUGGAUUCAGCGGCGGACGGGUGAGUAAUGCCUAGGAAUCUGCCUGGUAGUGGGGGAUAACGUCCGGAAACGGGCGCUAAUACCGCAUACGGCCUUAGGGAGAAAGUGUGGGAUCUUCGGACCUCACGCUAUCAUAUGAGCCUAGGUCGGAUUAGCUAGUUGGUGGUGUAAAGGCCUACCAAGGCGACGAUCCGUAACCGGUCUCAGAGGAUGAUCAGUCACACUGGAACUGAGACACGGUCCAGACUCCUACGACAGGCAGCAGUGGGGAAUAUUGGACAAUGGGCGAAAGCCUGAUCCAGCGAUGCCGCGUGUGUGAAGAAGGUCUUCGGAUUGUAAAGCACUUUAAGUUGGGAGGAAGGGCAGUAAGUUAAUAACUUGCUGUUUUGACGUUACCAACAGAAUAAGCACCGGCUAACUUCGUG